AUUGAACGCUGGCGGCAGGCCUAACACAUGCAAGUCGAACGAGUGGCGGACGGGUGAGUAAUGUCUGGGAAACUGCCCGAUGGAGGGGGAUAACUACUGGAAACGGUAGCUAAUACCGCAUACCAUCGGAUGUGCCCAGAUGGGAUUAGCUAGUAGGUGGGGAAAAGGCUCACCUCGGCGACGAUCCCUAGCUGGUCUGAAAGGAUGACCAGCAACACGGGAACAGAGGCACGGUCCAGACUCCUAAGGGAGGCAGCAGUGGGGAAUAUUGCACAAUGGGCGCAAGCCUGAUGCAGCCAUGCCGCGUGUAUGAAGAAGGCCUUCGGGUUGUAAAGUACUUUCAGCGGGUGGGCGUUACCCGCAGAAGAAGCACCGGCUAACUCCGUGCCAGCAGCCGCGGUAAUAC
rnacentral:rRNA from 1 species